rnacentral:lncRNA from 1 species
GAAGCAGAGAGCCUUCAGGUGUGGAGAAGAUUUUUAUUUUUCUCUGGGGAGAAAAAAAAAUAUCCCUAGAGAAAAAAAACAAAAAACACACAACUCCAAAGGCCUUUCAGAUAGCAUCCUGCCUCCUCUGGGUCACAGUGCGUCCCAAGGAGUGGAUCAGCUGAGUCAGAGUUUCCCGGAGGCAGAACAGCGUGGUUAAGGGACUGCAGCCGUCAGUGAUUCCAGCUUACUGCUUGCGUGGGGGUGGCGUACCUCUUCUUCCGGAGUGUGAACUUUUCUUUCACUACCCUGGUCCAGAAGCACAUUCAUGGAAGGAACCUGGACCCGAUCUGACCUAUCCGUGACCCCAAGCCUGACCUUCUCUACCACUGAGCAUCCCCACGGACAGAAGCCGGGACUAUGGAGAUGUUCCCUCUCGGUGAACGGGUGCAUAUCCUUAAACUUAUUCGUGCUGCGAACUCUCCCAGGCAGCUUGUUAGAAUCUCUGCCCAAACCUAGUCUCUUGGCUCAGGGAGUCUGGGACUAUUCUUUGGAAAAUACUGCAACAGAUUGUAGAGGGAAUUGUUGGGAGAAGUCAAAGAGGGAGAGAGGCCUCCUUUGGGAAACAAUACUGAUUCUCUCUGGGAGUGGUGAGGAUUCUGUCUGCCAUGGGGAAAUUUCACCCACUAAGAUCAAUAAAGAACAAAGGGACCUGGUGUGAGAGAGAAGGCAGGUGGCAGGGGAUAUCAUUUCCCCAGGACACUGGGGACACAUUUGAAGAAGCAGUCUGUGAGGGUGAGCAGCUAUAUCAGGGGGCUGUAGGAGAGAGGUGGCCUUUGGGGACCUCACUGUGGGAGAUCAUGAAGCCUCAGGGUAGAGCUACAUACUAGGAAGUGGAAGAUCUGUGGAGCCUGGUGUAGGAAGCAGCCCACACUUACCCACCAUCUUUUGUAACAACAAACAGUAGUAUUCAGCUGUAGUUGCUUACACGUGUGUGCAUACUGGAGACCGACUUCUAGAAGACUGACUUUUUUUUUUUAACAAAGAAGAAAUAUUAACAGUUCUUAGAGAAGGGAGGGAGCUAUCCUGAGUAUGUGGAAAGGACUGUUUUUAUAGAUUUCUGAGCUAAGUGGAGGGUGGUAUCUCUCUGCAAGUCAACUGUACCUGCCAUCCCCAAUACUGCUGCUGGAAGGGGACGUUUUAUAUGUGUAAAGAUGGAGAGAUAUGCACUUAGGCUUCAUUUCCAUGGUCCACUGAUCCCUCACAGAACUAUCGGUAGAUCCAACGCUCUUCCAUCUCAUGUUUUUGUACAUUCCAAAACUUGUCACAAAGCCGUUCCUAUGGACACAGAAACUCAUCUGCUUUCUGUAUGACUGAGUAGCUAUCGGGCUCUCAUUGGUUCUAAAUAUCAACGGUUUCUGUUACACAAAAUUUUCUCGACUUUAAAUUUCAUGUCUUGAGCUUUCACUAAUGAUAGCAACUGUGCUCCAUAUUUUGGAGAUUUCUGCCUAGCAACCUGACUGGGAGCCAUUUGAGCAAGCAUCACAGUCCUCGAGCUUUCUGGACGGCAACGCUCUAUUGUUUCCUGACUUCCGCAAAUUAUCCAGGGUUUCGUUCCCCUCCUUUAUAACAGUGGCAAAGUCAUAACAACUCAAUUUCUAUUUUGCUUCCUUUGUUUCUCUCCCAGGUGAGGGUUCCCAAG